rnacentral:rRNA from 1 species
ACUGAGACACGGCCCAAACUCCUACGGGAGGCAGCAGUAGGGAAUCUUCCACAAUGGGCGAAAGCCUGAUGGAGCAACGCCGCGUGGGUGAAGAAGGUCUUCGGAUCGUAAAACCCUGUUGUUAGAGAAGAAAGUGCGUGAGAGUAACUGUUCACGUUUCGACGGUAUCUAACCAGAAAGCCACGGCUAACUACGUGCCAGCAGCCGCGGUAAUACGUAGGUGGCAAGCGUUAUCCGGAUUUAUUGGGCGUAAAGGGAACGCAGGCGGUCUUUUAAGUCUGAUGUGAAAGCCUUCGGCUUAACCGGAGUAGUGCAUUGGAAACUGGGAGACUUGAGUGCAGAAGAGGAGAGUGGAACUCCAUGUGUAGCGGUGAAAUGCGUAGAUAUAUGGAAGAACACCAGUGGCGAAAGCGGCUCUCUGGUCUGUAACUGACGCUGAGGUUCGAAAGCGUGGGUAGCAAACAGGAUUAGAUACCCUGGUAGUCCACGCCGUAAACGAUGAAUGCUAAGUGUUGGAGGGUUUCCGCCCUUCAGUGCUGCAGCUAACGCAAUAAGCAUUCCGCCUGGGGAGUACGACCGCAAGGUUGAAACUCAAAGGAAUUGACGGGGGCCCGCACAAGCGGUGGAGCAUGUGGUUUAAUUCGAAGCAACGCGAAGAACCUUACCAGGUCUUGACAUCUUCUGACAAUCCUAGAGAUAGGACUUUCCCUUCGGGGACAGAAUGACAGGUGGUGCAUGGUUGUCGUCAGCUCGUGUCGUGAGAUGUUGGGUUAAGUCCCGCAACGAGCGCAACCCUUAUUGUUAGUUGCCAGCAUUAAGUUGGGCACUCUAGCAGGACUGCCGGUGACAA